rnacentral:rRNA from 1 species
AUUGAACGCUGGCGGCAGGCCUAACACAUGCAAGUCGAGCGAGCGGCGGACGGGUGAGUAAUGCCUGGGAAACUGCCUGAUGGAGGGGGAUAAAUAAUGGAAACGGUAGCUAAUACCGCAUACCAACAGCACUUCCCAGAUUGGAUUAGCUAGUAGGUGGGGUAACGGCUCACCUAGGCGACGAUCCCUAGCGGGUCUGGGAGGAUGACCAGCCACACUGGAACGGAGACACGGUCCAGACUCCUACGGGAGGCAGCAGUGGGGAAUAUUGCACAAUGGGCGCAAGCCUGAUGCAGCCAUGCCGCGUGUGUGAAGAAGGCCUUCGGGUUGUAAAGCACUUUCAGCGGGGAGGCGUUACCCGCAGAAGAAGCACCGGCUAACUCCGUGCCAGCAGCCGCGGUAAUAC